UCUUCUUCUAGCCGAAUCGAGCUUUAUUGAAACGCCGGAAACAAACAGGGACAGAGUUGAGGGAGUGGCUGCCGGGGCGGGAAUAGCGGGGUGACGUCACGCGCCGGCGGGGCGCGCUUUCUAGUUGCUUGUUCUUCACCUGUGCCUUGGGUCUCCUCUGGAGUAUUCAGAAAAAGUGAGCUCCUGGGGCCCUGCCCUUAAGGAGUCUACUGAGUGCAGGAGGAGAGCAGGCAUUAAUCAAGUAACAAAUGGAAGAAUUGUAAGACGGCUAUGGGCACCAAGGAAGGAAUAACCAAGAAGUGAAAGACAUGUGGAAACAUGAGUGAUGAGUUGGUUAACCAUUAGUGAAGUUGGGGUAUGUACCCGGCACGUGAAGCCCUGGCCUAUGGCGUGGCCUUCCUAGUUCUGGGUUUAAUGAAGACCUCAAACAUUAAUGUUGGAAGGAUCAUUCAGAACCAUCAGCGUUUCUUAAGGCAGCUCUGUGGCAUUUGAAGCAAGACUUUUCCUCGUUUUCAGGACUGCCUCAGGAUCCUGGAGGAUGCCAGCUCCUAAGUAAGCCCAGUCCUGUUUCCUGUCGGCUGCCCUGCACUCUCUGGACCAUGGGAAUGCCUGCACGCCUGCAGCUCACACCUACACAGUCCGGAGCUCAGGUGUCCACAGGCCAUAUCCUGAAGAAAUCUAUGCCACACAAAGAUGAGAUGAAGGAGAAGAAUUUGAGAAGGAGAACCUGGAGCCAGGGAUGGGACUGAACACUGGUCUCCAAGAGGCUGGGGAAGUGCGAGUAGAGAGUCUGGAGCAAGUCAUGAAGGAAAAAGCCAGCCCCGUACCAGUGAGUGAGUCCAGGUGCAAAGCUCAAAGGUGAGUGCAGAACC